rnacentral:rRNA from 1 species
UACGGAGGGUGCAAGCGUUAUCCGGAAUCACUGGGUUUAAAGGGUGCGUAGGCGGCGUUAUAAGUCAGAGGUGAAAGGCCACCGCUUAACGGUGGGACUGCCUUUGAUACUGUAGUGCUUGAAUAAGGUUGAGGUUAGCGGAAUGUGACAUGUAGCGGUGAAAUGCAUAGAUAUGUCAUAGAACACCAAUUGCGAAGGCAGCUGGCUAGACCUUUAUUGACGCUGAGGCACGAAAGCGUGGGGAGCGAACAGG